CCUCCUCCUCCUCCCUCUCUCCUUCCUCCCCUUUUCCUCUUUCUUAUCCUCUCUCCCUCCCUCCUCCUCUCCCUCUUUUCACUUUCUCCUCUCCCUCUUCCCUCCCUCCUUUGUCUUUCCCUCUCACACCACACACACAUCCCUACACAAUCUAUGCUUUUCUAUAGUCUUGGGAUAAAAACGGGUAUACAUUGAAGCACAAGAGUCCAUUAACCAAAAAGCUCUGCCCUGCUGCCAAGGUUUUAAAUUUUCACCGCAGCUACAGACCAUGCAUUUGAGCUAUGGAAAACUGCCUUUAUCUCUAUGAGAUCAUUUUGGCGCGCUGUUGUGCGUCAGGAGCCAUUUUCUUUCACUGGUAUCUGUUAGCCCGGUGGGGGAGGGUCAGCAGUGGAACUUCAAAGUACCUAAGAGUCAACUAGGUGUCUCAGUAGAUAAAACGGCAGACCUGGAAUCAGAAAGACCUGGGUUCAAAUCUACCCUUAGACACUCACUAGCUAUGUGACUGUGGACCAGACCACUGUUUUCUUCAACCCACUGGAGAAGGAAAUGGCACACUUCUGCUUUGAAGAAGACAGCAUGGAACCCUGGGAAGAAGCCUUGAUCUGGGGUCAGAAAACUCUAGUUCAAAUCCUGGCUUGGAUUUUUGAUACCUAUGACUUCUGCCAGGUCAUUUUCCUUCACUGGGAUUUUUCUCAUUGGACAAGAUGACUUCUGAGGUCUCUCUUGGAUAUAAAUGUGUAAUCCUAUGAAGUCAUCUUUGAUUAACUCACCCACAGACUCAAUAACAAUACUGACUCCCUCCUUAACCAUUUCGUGCUCCCUUGGCAUUUGAAUUUUGCACACUUGGGUGAGUUGGCAUCUAUUUGUAUUGUUUCCUUUUUUAUUAAUAGAAUUUAUUUCCAAGUAUCUCAAUCCCCCCUUUCCUUCCCUGUACCUCCCUGAUGCCUAUAGAAGGCAUCAUUCAACAAACAUAUGUGUACAUAGAUUAUGUCUUUCAUAUUUCUACUUCAUCCUCUGGAUGGGAAUGUUCAUAAGUUUUUCUUCAAAUAUUAAAUCCGUAGCUGUAUAUAAUGUUCUCUUGCUUCCAUUCAUUUCACUUUUCAUUAACUCAUGUGGUUCUUUCCAACUUUUUUUUUAAUUUUUUUUUAUUUUUAUUUUUAAUAUAUUUUAUUUGAUCAUUUCCAAGCAUUAUUCGUUAAAGACAUAGAUCAUUUUCUUUUCCUCCCCCCCACCCCCCAUAGCCGACGCGUAAGUCCACUGGGCAUUAGAUGUUUUCUUGAUUUGAACCCAUUGCUUUGUUGAUAGUAUUUGCAUUAGAGUGUUCAUUUAGAGUCUAUCCUCUGUCAUGUCCCCUCAACCUCUGUAUUCAGGCAGUUGCUUUUUCUCGGUGUUUCCACUCCCAUAGUUUAUCCUUUGCUUAUGAAUGGUGUUUUUUUCUCCUGGAUCCCUGCAAGUUGUUCAG